rnacentral:rRNA from 1 species
UACGGAGGGUGCAAGCGUUAUCCGGAUUCACUGGGUUUAAAGGGUGCGUAGGCGGCUAUAUAAGUCAGUGGUGAAAGCCCGCAGCUCAACUGCGGAAUUGCCAUUGAAACUGCAUAGCUUGGAUCUGGUUGAAGUGGGCGGAAUACAUCAUGUAGCGGUGAAAUGCUUAGAUAUGAUGUAGAACACCGAUUGCGAAGGCAGCUCACUAAGCCAACAUUGACGCUGAGGCACGAAAGCGUGGGUAGCGAACAGG